rnacentral:rRNA from 1 species
GGGAGGGGGGGCGAGCGUUAUUCGGAAUUAUUGGGCGUAAAGGGCAGGUAGGGCGGCUUCGUGUGUCCUCUGUGAAAGCCCCCGGCUCAACCGGGGAAUUGCAGGGGAAACUGCGGAGCUUGAGUCCGGGAGAGGGUAGUGGAAUUCCCAGUGUAGCGGUGAAAUGCGUAGAUAUUGGGAGGAACACCAGUGGCGAAGGCGACUACCUGGACCGGUACUGACGCUGAGCUGCGAAAGCCAGGGGAGCGAACGGGAUUAGAUACCCCGGUAGUCCUGGCUGUAAACGGUGAGCACUUGGUGUGGCGGGUAUCGACCCCUGCUGUGCCGAAGCUAACGCAUUAAGUGCUCCGCCUGGGGAGUACGGUCGCAAGGCUA